UACGGAGGGGGCAAGCGUUAUUCGGAAUUAUUGGGCGUAAAGGGCGCGUAGGCGGCUAGUUGAGUCAAAGGUGAAAUCCCUCGGCUCAACUGAGGAACUGCCUUUGAAACUGUCUGGCUUGAGGCCGGGAGAGGGUAGCGGAAUUCCCAGUGUAGCGGUGAAAUGCGUAGAUAUUGGGAGGAACACCAGUGGCGAAGGCGGCUACCUGGACCGGUUCUGACGCUGAGGCGCGAAAGCGUGGGUAGCGAACAGG
rnacentral:rRNA from 1 species